UGCCAGCAGCCGCGGUAAUACGGAGGGUGCAAGCGUUGUUCGGAUUUAUUGGGCGUAAAGCGCGCGCAGGCGGGUAAUUAAGUCAGGUGUGAAAUCUCGGGGCUCAACUCCGAAACUGCGCCUGAAACUGGUUACCUAGAAUACCGGAGGGGAAAGGGGAAUUUCUCGUGUAGGGGUAAAAUCCGUAGAGAUGAGAAGGAACACCUGAGGCGAAGGCGCCUUUCUGGACGGUUAUUGACGCUGAGGCGCGAAAGUGUAGGGAGCAAACAGGAUUAGAUA
rnacentral:rRNA from 1 species